AUUGAAUUGGAUUUAGUUUGACUUAGAUUGGAUUUGAUUUGAUCAAGCUUAAUUGCAAGAAAAAUUUGAUCCUGAUUUGAUCAGGACUUGGGCUCAGCUAAUUUCUAAUUGGGUUAGAAAAUUGUUGAGAUGAAUAGGUUCUUAAUUAGAUUAAGGUCAUUUCUCUCAUUGGAUUUAAAUCAGAAUUGAUUUGGUUUAGAAUCAAAUUGAAAAUAAAGAGUCUCAGUCAACAGAGACUCUAUCUCUUCCCCUUGCUCCACAUUGGACCCACCCCAUCUUCUAAACGUCAAAAUGGUUUUGGUGUGUGAUUUUUGGGCAUGA
rnacentral:lncRNA from 1 species